UUAAUAAAAGAAAGUAAAUAAGAGCACACGGGGGAUGCCUAGGCUCUCAGAGGCGAUGAAGGACGUGAUAAGCUGCGAUAAGCUACGGGUAUUGGCACAUACGAAUUGAUCCGUAGAUUUCCGAAUGGGGAAACCUAACUAAUUGAAGAUUAGUUGCAAUAGCGCAAACCUGCUGAACUGAAACAUCUAAGUAAGCAGAGGAAGAGAAAAUAAUAAUGAUUUCCUGAGUAGUGGCGAGCGAAAGGGAAAGAGCCCAAACCAAUUAUGUUACGGCAUAAUUGGGGUUGUAGGACUGAAAUGUGAGUAUGUCGAUGAAGUAGAACAGGAUGGGAAACCUGGCCAUAGCGUGUGAUAGCCACGUAUACGUAAAGGAAUAUACUCUAUCAGUAUCCUGAGUACCGCGGGGUCGGAGACGCCCUGUGGGAAUCUGCCAGCACCAUCUGGUAAGGCUAAAUACUCCUGAGAGACCGAUAGUGAACUAGUACCGUGAGGGAAAGGUGAAAAGAACCGCGAAUAGCGGAGUGAAAUAGAACCUGAAACCGUGUGCUUACAAGCGGUCGGAGCAUCCAAGUGGUGUGACGGCGUGCCUUUUGCAUAAUGAGCCUACGAGUUACUCUUCUCUGGCAAGGUUAAGUGAUUAAGUCACGGAGCCGAAGCGAAAGCGAGUCUGAAUAGGGCGUACAGUCAGAGGAGGUAGACGCGAAACCUUGUGAUCUACCCAUGGACAGGUUGAAGUUGCAGUAACAUGUAAUGGAGGACCGAACCGAUA
rnacentral:rRNA from 1 species